rnacentral:rRNA from 1 species
AGUGAACGCUGGCGGUAGGCCUAACACAUGCAAGUCGAACGGCAGCACAGUAAGAGCUUGCUCUUACGGGUGGCGAGUGGCGGACGGGUGAGGAAUACAUCGGAAUCUACUUUUUCGUGGGGGGUAACGUAGGGAAACUUACGCUAAUACCGCAUACGACCUACGGGUGAAAGCAGGGGAUCUUCGGACCUUGCGCGAUUGAAUGAGCCGAUGUCGGAUUAGCUAGUUGGCGGGGUAAAGGCCCACCAAGGCGACGAUCCGUAGCUGGUCUGAGAGGAUGAUCAGCCACACUGGAACUGAGACACGGUCCAGACUCCUACGGGAGGCAGCAGUGGGGAAUAUUGGACAAUGGGCGCAAGCCCGAUCCAGCCAUACCGCGUGGGUGAAGAAGGCCUUCGGGUUGUAAAGCCCUUUUGUUGGGAAAGAAAAGCAGCAGGUUAAUACCCCGCUGUUCUGACGGUACCCAAAGAAUAAGCACCGGCUAACUUCGUG